rfam:Myotis davidii contig190525, whole genome shotgun sequence.
GGAUGUGCGGGCGAUCUGGCUGCAGCGUCUGUCACCCCAUUGAUUGCUGGGGUUGAUUCAGCUGAUCUGGCUGGCUAGGCAGAUGUUCCCCUCUUCCCUCACUGAUCCAUGUACAUCCAUCCUGAAGUUGGGUAUUCGGUUAAAGAGGACAACCUUCUCCUCAGAGGAGAGGAUGGGUCUUCAGUCAAGGGUAUAUGAGUAGCUGUGCUCCUCUGUUAGAACCUCAAAUCAAACUCAAAUCAGAAGUAAGACCAAAGCUAAACUUCAGAAGAAGAUCUCCAGUCAUUUAGACUUACCCCUGGAGGUAACUCUCCAAU